rnacentral:rRNA from 1 species
CUUAACGGUAAAAUUGCCCCCGAUACUGGGUGUCUUGAAUCUGACAGAGGUCGGUGGAAUUCGUGGUGUAGCGGUGAAAUGCAUAGAUAUCACGAAGAACAUCAGUGGCGAAGGCGGCCGGCUGGGUCAGUAUUGACGCUGAGGCACGAGAGCGUGGGGAGCGAACAGGAUUAGAUACCCUGGUAGUCCACGCUGUAAACGAUGUAUGCUAGUUGUGGGGCUUUCGGGCUCUGUGACGCAGUUAACGCAGUAAGCAUACCACCUGGGGAGUACGUUCGCAAGAAUGAAACUCAAAGGAAUUGACGGGGGCCCGCACAAGCGGUGGAGCAUGUGGCUUAACUCGAUGCAACGCGAAGAACCUUACCCGGGCUAAAUCUCGGACGACCGGUCCCGAAACGGACCUUCCCUUCGGGGCGU